rnacentral:rRNA from 1 species
AUUGAACGCUGGCGGCAUGCUUUACACAUGCAAGUCGAACGGCAGCGCGGGCUUCGGCCUGGCGGCGAGUGGCGAACGGGUGAGUAAUGCAUCGGAACGUGCCCAGUAGUGGGGGAUAGCCCGGCGAAAGCCGGAUUAAUACCGCAUACGACCUGAGGGUGAAAGCGGGGGACCGAAGGGCCGCGCGCUAUUGGCGCGGCCGAUGUCGGAUUAGCUAGUUGGUGGGGUAAAGGCUUACCAAGGCGACUAUCCGUAGCUGGUCUGAGAGGACGACCAGCCACACUGGGACUGAGACACGGCCCAGACUCCUACGGGAGGCAGCAGUGGGGAAUUUUGGACAAUGGGGGCAACCCUGAUCCAGCCAUGCCGCGUGCGGGAAGAAGGCCUUCGGGUUGUAAACCGCUUUUGUUCGGGAAGAAAUCCUCUGGGCUAAUACCCCGGGGGGAUGACGGUACCGGAAGAAUAAGCACCGGCUAACUACGUG